AUAAAUGAUCAUUUUUAAUAACGAUGAGAUAACGGUGACAUAACGACCAACGUCAUCUUGAAACUAAAUAUCAAAAAGUGAUUAUUCAUGCUAAUUGGCCAAAAAUUAAAGCUUCUACAGUCCCAUUUGAUUCAUGUCACUGUUUCUAAUAUUCAAAUCAAUCACUCCUUCUAUCAAGUUCCAUCUAAUGAAAUUCCUUAAUUUCAGUGUACACCUUUAUUUCUGUUGGAAUAACCCGUUCUCCAGGCAUUAUUAUGAGUACGAUAAUGAAUGUUGUAUUAUGUACAAAAUGAUGUC
rnacentral:lncRNA from 1 species